CACUUCCCGAAGGUGUUUUAUUGCUUCAGUGUGUUGUGGGUAGAUUGGAGUAAAGGGCACGGUGUAAAGCAUAUUGCUCCUUUCAUUCUCUCCAAUGCUUCUUAUCAGCUGCACUCCAACCUCUCAAAACCUAAUAAUGUUUGACUGGUCUCGUGUCACAAAACGAGUAAGCUUAUGCCCAUUAAUUGAAAUAUUUUAGUGCGCAAUUAUUAUUGCCAAAUACGUAUUUUAGUUGGCUCUACCUUGCCUUCACUUUUCGAGAAUUUGUUAAUUAUACCAUUUCAGAUAAUGCAGAUUUAAGGCACUUUUGAAAAUGCUGCCGCGACAAGCACAAGGCCCCCCAGCGAGAAGUCUAACAUUUUCUAUAAGGCUAGCUCGGCAAGGAGCACACUGGGAUCAUGGUGAUGGGAGAUUACGAGGAAGGUUAGUGCAAGAAGUUUUAACUGUCAAAACGAUAAUACAAAUAACCUCACAUGAUUAUCGUACCCCAUAAUAAACCACAACAGUAUGAUCGAUGAUUACUGUGAACUUUCAGCAAGUUGUCAUCUAGUUUUUGCAAG